GAACAGUGAUGAGGUGUAUGCGUUCACUGUGAGGAUUGGGUUCCUCACAAAUCUCCGAUUCCGGAAGAAAACUGCGCAUCUGAGUUC